rnacentral:rRNA from 1 species
AGAGCGAACGCUGGCGGCGUGCUUAACACAUGCAAGUCGAACGCGCAGCAUUCUGUAGCAAUACAGGAUGUGGGCGCGUGGCGAACGGGUGCGUAACACGUGGAUAACCUUCCUUCAGGUGGGGAAUAACCCAGCGAAAGUUGGGCUAAUACCGCAUAACAUGACGAUGCCACAUGGUGUUGUCUUCAAAGGCGCAAGUCGCCAGAAGAGGGAUCCGCGGCCGAUUAGCUUGUUGGCGAGGUAAUGGCUCACCAAGGCAUUGAUCGGUAGCCGGACUGAGAGGUUGGCCGGCCACACUGGAACUGAGACACGGUCCAGACUCCUACGGGAGGCAGCAGUGGGGAAUCUUGCACAAUGGACGAAAGCCUGAUGGUGUGACGCCGCGUGGAGGAUGAAGGUCUUAGGAUUGUAAACUCUGUCAUUCAUGAGCAAGGUUACUGGGUUAAUACCGUGGGACUUGAUAUUAGUGAAAGAGGAAGA